UGUGGCUCAGUGAUAGAGUGCUUGCCUAGCAUGCAUGAGAUCCUGGGUUAGAUCCCCAGUA
rnacentral:tRNA from 1 species